GAUGAACGCUGGCGGCGUGCCUAAUACAUGCAAGUCGAGCGAACGGACGAGAAGCUUGCUUCUCUGAUGUUAGCGGCGGACGGGUGAGUAACACGUGGAUAACCUACCUAUAAGACUGGGAUAACUUCGGGAAACCGGAGCUAAUACCGGAUAAUAUUUUGAACCGCAUGGUUCAAAAGUGAAAGACGGUCUUGCUGUCACUUAUAGAUGGAUCCGCGCUGCAUUAGCUAGUUGGUAAGGUAACGGCUUACCAAGGCAACGAUGCAUAGCCGACCUGAGAGGGUGAUCGGCCACACUGGAACUGAGACACGGUCCAGACUCCUACGGGAGGCAGCAGUAGGGAAUCUUCCGCAAAGGGCGAAAGCCUGACGGAGCAACGCCGCGUGAGAGAUGAAGGUCUUCGGAUCGUAAAACUCUGUUAUUAGGGAAGAACAUAUGUGUAAGUAACUGUGCACAUCUUGACGGUACCUAAUCAGAAAGCCACGGCUAACUACGUG
rnacentral:rRNA from 1 species